GGAGCUUUACUCCAGUUUGGUACUGGGAUCCGGUGCUGCAUGUACAGGAUAGGUGGGAGACUGAGAACACAGAACGCCAGUUGUGUGGGAGUCGCUGUUGGGAUACCACCCUUGCAGUAUUGGGUUUCUAACCAUCCGCCGUGACCCGGCGGUGGGACAAUGCCAGGCGGGGAGUUUGACUGGGGCGGUCGCCUCCGAAAGGGUAUCGGAGGCGCCCAAAGGUUCCCUCAGAAUGGACGGAAACCAGUACCAAACUGGAGUAAAGCUCC
rnacentral:rRNA from 1 species